CUGGCCGCCGGCGAAUUCCCCCACGCCCCGUCCAGUCCCAGGGACUGCCUCGCUCCUUCCCGCUUGUCUCCCUGACAUAGCCCGGGGCUGUCGCUCUUCCUCAAUCCCCUGCUCGGCUGCUCCCCGCUGCUCAAGACUGUGGAUUGCCUGUCUGCCACUGUUGCUCUAGCCAGGCGACGCCGCCGCUCUAGUCCGGCCAUUGCCUGAAUCCAGAUUCCCCGUCUCCGCGCCGCCACUCUACUCCGGCCACUCCCCGACUCCGGACUACAAUUUAAUUGAUAAAAUAGAAGAUAAGAUAUUUCUCAAGCCUAUAGGGAUCUCAGAGGGCUUCUACCUCCUCAUAGAGGUGUUGCUUCUUCUUCUGCCGCAGAUCAUGUUAUGGGAGGCAGGAAUGAAAUAAACAACUGAUUUGGUACUCCUAUAUCCCUGUAUUAUUUCUGGUUUUAUCAUGUUUUAUCUCUUCUAUUGGAUUGUUAAGCACCAAGAUUAAAUUUUAGAAUUAUUGAACAACUGAAUUUAUUUUGUUUGGUAUUGCAUAUUAUCUUUUUUUAAAUGUCAUGAUGUGUUCUUGGGUAGUUAUAAGUGCCAAAGUUUUCCCUUGUUGCCGAAAAAAUUAGGCCCGGGUUUCGCUUCAAUCCUGCCUCCACCACUGGCUGGAUGCGUCAUAUGUUAUCAAGUUGCACAAUGGAUCAUGUAGAGCUUAAGAUGUACAGCAUAUGUUUGUAUUAAUUUCAGUUUUAUACAAAUAAAAAAAAAGUUGGAUAAGUAAAAAUAACUCUGAUGUGAAACGAUGAAGCAAACAGCUAAGAAACAAAACUGGCCAAACAUCUUGGUCAUAUAGCUGUGAAAUCGCAAGCAGCUGAGCCAAGAUCGAUGAACGUCAAUGUCGUCUUCAUCUCAAGAUAUCAGGUACGUGCAAAUCAUGGUUUCUUUAGUUUUUGUAUAUCUUGCGGUGAGCUAGAAGAAAACAACAAAAUACAUCAGAACUGUUAGAGAAGAGAAGAAGAUUCUUGGUGGUUGCUGUUGUGAAGGCAUGAAUGGUGUUGUCACAUUUUCCAUUCUCUUCUACAAAAGUUCACGGAUCAUAGAGUAGAGCAUGUAGUACUAUAAUACUUUUCAUAUGGUAUUCUCAACAAUAAAAAAAUGAUACUAUGUGAGAGAGUAAGUGUAUGACUAUGAUAAAUCAAACUGGGAUGAAACUUCAGUUAAUUGCUUAAAGAUCGCUGAACUUC